UUAAAAUUUCUUUUAAAAGUUUUUACUAGGUUUGGGGUGCCUUUUGCAUCAUGCUCAAGUGAGGGUUUGAACAAUUAUCUGUUAUCGAAAACUCAGGAUCUUGCCUAGGCCAGUUUCGAACUGUUUGCCGGGUAGGCUUUGACAGAGCUUAGGCACGAUGUGAAAAAUUAUUCGUUAGGGUUUAUAGCUAUUUUUCAGCUAAAGUUUCGUUUAAGCACUGUGGCGAAGAUGUCACAGUGCACGGUAUACUCACAUAAUUUAUAUUUCUUUGCGUAAAGGUUAAAAUUACCUUAUAGUUGUAAUCUUGUUACAAAGUUUAUCACCAAGGUGAAGGGGUUACUUGAAUAUGCUGAACUUUGUUAAUAUGUAGGGUUUGUUUAUGCUUGAAUAAGUAAUAUUAAUAGGUUUUAUAUUUCUCAAGUCUCUCCCGCCUGUUUAUUAAAAACAUCUCUAUAAAUAAAACUUUAUAGUAGUACCUGCUCUAUGUUUAAUAUAUAAAUGGCCGCAGUAUCUUGACUGUGCGAAGGUAGCAUAAUUAAUUGCCUUAUAAUUGAAGGCUUGUUUGAACGGUUUGACGCGGGGAGUAUAAAUAUCAACUCUUUUAUUGAAAUUAUAAUAGAGGGCACAGAUACCUCUGUAGUUAAUUAGACGGAAAGACCCCGGGAUCUUUUUAUUUUGCCUGGGGCAGGUUAAAGUAUUUCACUUUUAUUUGGACCCUGGACGGUUUAUUGAGUAAAGUUACCCCGGGGAUAACAGUAUAAUAGCUUAUAAGAGAUCCUAUCGAUUAAGCUGCUUGUUACCUCGAUGUUGACUUAGGUUAUAACUAGGCGUAGUAGUUUAGUUUGUUAGGUCUGUUCGACCUUGUAACCUCCAUGAGUUGAGUUAAGACCGGUGUAAGCCAGGUCGGUUCUUAUCUAUUAUUCUGAUUUGUUAGUACGAAAGGACCACAAAUCUUUUUGUU
rnacentral:rRNA from 1 species